UUGAAUAAAAUCUGACGUGGUUGUCGCUGGCUCCCCCGGGAGCAUGUGCACGCCCGUCACCUUUAUUUCUCCACCUGUGCGCACACUGUAGGCCUGGAUACCUCUCGUCGCAAGGCGGAUGCGUGGCUUGCUGUCGCUUUCGAAAGAAGGCCGGCUUGCCAUGAAUUUCCAGGUCUAUGAUUUCUUACACACCCCAAACUGAAUGUUAUGGAAUGUCAUCUCAAGGCCUUGGUGCCUAUAAACCUAU
rnacentral:misc_RNA from 1 species